rnacentral:rRNA from 1 species
UACGUAGGGACCGAGCGUUGUCCGGAUUCAUUGGGCGUAAAGAGCUCGUAGGCGGCUGUUCAAGUCGAACGUGAAAACUCGGAGCUCAACUCCGAGCCUGCGUUCGAUACGGGCAGGCUGGAGUUCGGUAGGGGAGACUGGAAUUCCUGGUGUAGCGGUGAAAUGCGCAGAUAUCAGGAGGAACACCUGCGGCGAAGGCGGGUUGCUGGGCUGAUACUGACGCUGAGGCGCGAAAGCCAGGGGAGCGAACGGG